GAUGAACGCUGGCGGCGUGCCUAAUACAUGCAAGUCGAGCGAACAGACGAGGAGCUUGCUCCUCUGACGUUAGCGGAGGACGGGUGAGUAACACGUGGAUAACCUACCUAUAAGACUGGGAUAACUUCGGGAAACCGGAGCUAAUACCGGAUAAUAUCUUGAACCGCAUGGUGCAAUAGUGAAAGACGGUUUUGCGGUCACUUAUAGAUGGAUCCGCGCCGUAUUAGGUAGUUGGGACGGUAAAGGCUUACCAAGGGAACGAUGCGUAAGCGACCGGAGUGGUGGAUCGCCCACCUGGGAGGGGGACCGCCCACCUGGCUCCUGCGGUAGGCAGCAGUAGGGAAUGGUCCGCAAUGGGCGAAAGCCUGACGGAGCAGGGCCGCGUGUGUGAUGAAGGUCUUCGGAUCGUAAUGCUCUCUUAUGAGGGAAAAACAAAUGUGUAAGUAACUAUGGACGGCUUGACGGUACCUAAUCAGAAAGCCACGGCUAACUACGUG
rnacentral:rRNA from 1 species